CUACGGGGGGCUCCAGUGGGGAAUAUUGCACAGUGGGCGCAAGCCUGAUGCAGCCAUGCCGCGUGUAUGAAGAAGGCCUUCGGGUUGUAAAGUACUUUCAGCGGGGAGGAAGGGAGUAAAGUUAAUACCUUUGCUCAUUGACGUUACCCGCAGAAGAAGCACCGGCUAACUCCGUGCCAGCAGCCGCGGUAAUACGGAGGGUGCAAGCGUUAAUCGGAAUUACUGGGCGUAAAGCGCACGCCGGCGGUUUGUUAAGUCAGAUGUGAAAUCCCCGGGCUCAACCUGGGAACUGCAUCUGAUACUGGCAAGCGUGAGUCUCGUAGAGGGGGGUAGAAUUCCAGGUGUAGCGGUGAAAUGCGUAGAUAUCUGGAAGAACACCAGUGGCGAAGGCGACUCCCUGGCCCAAUACUGUCGCUGAGGUGCGAAAGCGUGGGCAGCAAACAGGAUUAGAUACCCCCGUAGUC
rnacentral:rRNA from 1 species